rnacentral:rRNA from 1 species
AGAGUUUGAUCCUGGCUCAGGAUGAACGCUAGCUACAGGCUUAACACAUGCAAGUCGAGGGGCAGCAUGGUCUUAGCUUGCUAAGGCUGAUGGCGACCGGCGCACGGGUGAGUAACACGUAUCCAACCUGCCGUCUACUCUUGGCCAGCCUUCUGAAAGGAAGAUUAAUCCAGGAUGGCAUCAUGAGUUCACAUGUCCGCAUGAUUAAAGGUAUUUUCCGGUAGACGAUGGGGAUGCGUUCCAUUAGAUAGUAGGCGGGGUAACGGCCCACCUAGUCAACGAUGGAUAGGGGUUCUGAGAGGAAGGUCCCCCACAUUGGAACUGAGACACGGUCCAAACUCCUACGGGAGGCAGCAGUGAGGAAUAUUGGUCAAUGGGCGAUGGCCUGAACCAGCCAAGUAGCGUGAAGGAUGACUGCCCUAUGGGUUGUAAACUUCUUUUAUAAAGGAAUAAAGUCGGGUAUGCAUACCCGUUUGCAUGUACUUUAUGAAUAAGGAUCGGCUAACUCCGUGCCAGCAGCCGCGGUAAUACGGAGGAUCCGAGCGUUAUCCGGAUUUAUUGGGUUUAAAGGGAGCGUAGAUGGAUGUUUAAGUCAGUUGUGAAAGUUUGCGGCUCAACCGUAAAAUUGCAGUUGAUACUGGAUGUCUUGAGUGCAGUUGAGGCAGGCGGAAUUCGUGGUGUAGCGGUGAAAUGCUUAGAUAUCACGAAGAACUCCGAUUGCGAAGGCAGCCUGCUAAGCUGCAACUGACAUUGAGGCUCGAAAGUGUGGGUAUCAAACAGGAUUAGAUACCCUGGUAGUCCACACGGUAAACGAUGAAUACUCCCUGUUUUGCGAUAUACGGCAAGCGGCCAGCCAAAA